ensembl:snoRNA U3 Small nucleolar RNA U3
AAGACUAUACUUUCAGGGGUCAUUUCUAUAGUUCAUUACUAGAGAAGUUUCUCUGAACAUCCAGAGCACCUAAGAUGUGUCCAUUCUCCUGA